GAUGAACGCUGACAGAAUGCUUAACACAUGCAAGUCAACUUGAACUUCGUGUGUGGUGGCGGACGGGUGAGUAACGCUGAUAGAACUUGCCUCACUGAUAGGGACAACAUGUGUAAACGAAUGCGUAUACCUGAUAUUAUGAUUAUAUGGCAUCGGUGUAGUGUGAAAGCUAUAUGCGCUGUGAGAGUGCUUUGCGUCCCAUUAGCUAGUUGGAGAGGUAACGGCUCACCAAGGCGAUGAUGGGUAGCCGGCCUGAGAGGGUGAUCGGCCACAAGGGGACUGAGACACAGCCCUUACUCACACGGGAGGCAGCAGUGGGGAAUAUUGGACAAUGGACCAAGAGUCAGAUCCAGCAAUUCUGUGUGCACGAUGAAGUUUUUCGGAAUGUCAAAAAAUUUCAGUUGGGAAGAAAAAAAUGACGGUACCAACAGAAGAAGUGACGGCUAAAUACGUG
rnacentral:rRNA from 1 species